GGACCUGACUGCUAUCGGAUUGAUACUAAGCCAUGCGAGUCAUUGUAGUAAUACAAGGCAGACGGCUCAGUAACGCGUAGUCAACCUAACCUAUGGACGGGAAUAACCUCGGGAAACUGAGUAUAAUGCCCGAUAGAACAUUAUGCCUGGAAUGGUUUAUGUUCCAAAUGAUUUAUCGCCGUAGGAUGGGACUGCGGCCUAUCAGUUUGUUGGUGAGGUAAUGGCCCACCAAGACUAUUACAGGUACGGGCUCCGAGAGGAGUAGCCCGGAGAUGGGUACUGAGACACGGACCCAGGCCCUAUGGGGCGCAGCAGGCGAGAAAACUUUGCAAUGUGCGAAAGCACGACAAGGUUAAUCCGAGUGGUUUCUGCUAAAGGAACCUUUUGACAGUCCUAGAAACACUGUUGAAUAAGGGGUGGGCAAGUUCUGGUGU
rnacentral:rRNA from 1 species